GUAGGUGGCAAGCGUUAUCCAGAAUUAUUGGGCGUAAAGCGCGCGCAGGCGGUUUCUUAAGUCUGAUGUGAAAGCCCACGGCUCAACCGUGGAGGGUCAUUGGAAACUGGGGAACUUGAGUGCAGAAGAGAAAAGCGGAAUUCCACGUGUAGCGGUGAAAUGCGUAGAGAUGUGGAGGAACACCAGUGGCGAAGGCGGCUUUUUGGUCUGUAACUGACGCUGAGGCGCGAAAGCGUGGGGAGCAAACAGGAUUAGAUACCCUGGUAGUCCACGCCGUAAACGAUGAGUGCUAAGUGUUAGAGGGUUUCCGCCCUUUAGUGCUGCAGCUAACGCAGUAAGCACUCCGCCUGGGAGUACGGUCGCAAGCUG
rnacentral:rRNA from 1 species